AUUAAUUACCCAUGCCUGGUAAUAUAUUACUUAAACAGAGGUUACAUUUUCUGUAAUUAUCCAGCUAUUAACCCAUGCCUGGUAAUAUAUUACUUAAACAGAGGUUACAUAUUCUGUAAUUAUCCAGCUAUUAACCCAUGCCUGGUAAUAUAUUACUUAAACAGAGGGUACAUUUUCUGUAAUUAUCCAGCUACAUGUAUUAACCCAUGCCUGAUAAUAUAUUACUUAAACAGAGGGUACAUUUUCUGUAAUUAUCCAGCUACAUCUAUUAGCCCAUGCCUGGUAAUCAGUGGGACAGCGUUUAUGUGUCUGUUCCAGGGCUUUUUACAGAAUAAAUACCGUAUUGUCGAGGCCAGCUGAGACUUGGCUAGUCACAUAUAUAUUUUACUAGUAAACAUAAACAUAUCAGUACUUAUAUCAUCCAAUAUUGUAUUUUAUUUUUACACAGAAAUGUAGUCACUUAUACUUAUAUGUUAAAUAUUAUUGCAUGUGUAUUACCAUAUAUACUUGGUACAUUUUAUAUAAAUUAGGCUUAAUAUUACAAUUGAAUUGUCUCUUAAAAUUUGAAGUAUUAAUUGAUAGGCUUUAAAAAUAGGGUAAACCUCUGCAGAUCUGAUCAAUCAUAAAUUAUUGUACAAUGUACUUCAUCUUUAAGAUUAUUUACAUAUACAAGUGGUUAUGGUUUGUAUUUGUUAAUUUUAAAUAUCUAUAUAUGCAAAGGCAAUUAGCUGUAUGUUUAGAUAUAAAAUCUACAUAUGUGUUUUUCCUAUGAUCAGUACUUCAGAAAUAGAACUUUUAAUUUGUACUGUAAAUUUAAUUGCAUCUUUGUUAUUUGAUACUUAAAAAUGCUGAACUCCACCUCCCUACUCGCACCUCUGAAAGUUCACUCUCAUUCCAACUUAAACUAGAACUUUAUAUACUUUUUAUUGUGAUCAAAGGCUUUGCUGCUAUCUUUAUCAAGUCUAUGCAUAAUCACACAUGAAUGUUUAACAAUUAAUUUAACUCCCUACUUAACAUACAUAAUGAUUAAGUAAACUUGCACUUUUUUACUAAUGCCCCAUAUUAUAGAUGCAUAUAUCUUGUAAUAGUAAUCAGGUUUUUCUUCUUUUUUUUUCGCAAAAUAUUGAUAUGUUUUAAAAACUUAGUGAUUUCCAUGAUCCUAGUCUGCUUGGUAAUUUUUUGGGCAGAUUGAAUUCAAAAUGGCCACUAAUCAGCCAUCUUGGAUUUUAACAUUGAAACAUUCAAAUUCUUUUGCUUUUUAUUGAAACAUUUUUUCAGCACAUUAUGGUGCAAAGUUGGUCACAAUUAGACAAGAAUUCAACAGGUCGAAGGUCAAGGUUAUUGGAUUAAAGAUCAAGGUCAUGUUUUCAUCUCCUAAUUGGUUAACAUUUUGUCUCAACAUUAUAAAGCAAAGCUGAUCAGAAUCAAACAAGGUUUCAACUGACCAAUGAUUAUAAGGAUAUUGGGUCAAAUGUCCAGGUCAAAUUUUACAUUCCUCAACUGGUGAACAUUUUGUUACGACAACAAAGAAUUAAACAAGGUUUCAAUUUACCUACAAAAUAUUUAAAUCAUUUUACAGUGAUUAGUGUACUCAGCAAAUUGUAUAUUGAUUUGGACAUCAGAUUUAAUCGAACUUGCCUAGUGUAAAAAAAAGGAAGGAAAAGUCCUCUGUAUAUGAAUAGUGAGAGAAGAUUAAUUUAGAAAACUUACUUGUAGUUGAUGUUUUACCUUAUAAAAUAUGGUGUAUUUAUCCUGAAAUAAGUCCACAUGUUCCAAUGACAAAUAAAAAGGUAAGAAAAAGGUACUGAUUCGAAUAUUGAUUGUAGGAAUGCUUUGUGAUUUGAAGAGAUAAUGACAUUGACAUAAAAUAGUGGUUAAUUGUCCUACCGAUCAAACUACCUUUGUAUAACACACUAAUAGUUCAACUUAAAAUAUUGAAAUAAAAUUAAAAAAAAAGAUAUAUUUUCAGGUAUUUAAUAACAUAUGAAAGUCCAUAGUUUUGAUGCUAAUGAAGUGAUUUACUACUGAAGUUUCUUAUUGUUUUACAUAAUUUUUCAAUGAUCAAAUACACUUAUACUUUCAGUGAUAAAGGAUUUUUGAUUUAAUUAUACAUGUGAAGUGAUUUAUUGUAUGACCCGAUUAUCUUACAACCAGAAUGUUUUGUUUUCUUUAUUAAACACUAGAAAUAAAAAAAAUUGAUAACCGUGUCCUAUAAAUGAUCGCAUAUUAGACUGAAAGUUACACACCAGAUACAGCGAUGGAGUAUGAUAUAUUUGAGAUACAAAUAAUAAUUUAUUGACAUUGAAUUAAAAAUAAAUAAAUAAAUAAAAAAGAUAAGUUCAUAAAUUUUGGAGGGUGUAAAUAGUGUAAACUAAAUAUAUGUAACUUUUGGUAUUAUAUAAAAAUACACAUUAAACAAUUCUUGUUUUCAAUCUAUCAUAAUUUCUAUUUUUCCACAAUAUAGCAUCUUUUAGUAAAAAUAAGAAAAUUGUAAGAAUUGAUUCUGAUUGGUAAAAAAUACUAUAAGAAUUAAUAUGAAAAUGAUUGAAAAUAACAUUUUACCAUUAUAUCAAGUCAGGAAAUAUUGUGAUGGAAAAACUUAGUAAUUGUGUCAUUGAAAUUGUAAUAUGAAUUGUGUUAGGAAUAAAAUUUAUGUAAUUUUUAGUUUGCGGCAGUUUCCAUAUUUAAUUGUGACAUUAUAAUUCAACUUCACAUGAGUGACGUCACAAAAUGAAAAAGUGACAUUUUGUCAAAGUAACACUAUAUCACUAUCAACCUCUGAUAAAGCUGACUUUGGAAAUAUUUGCAUCACCAACAAGUGAUAAGUGAUAAACAAAAUAAUAGAUUUGUCUUAAAUAUGUCUUUUCAUAUGACCAGACUGAGACUUUCAAAAUAUUGAAAUCUUAAAACUUAAUUCAUAAAUCUCCCAUGAGCUGGAAACCAAUGUAAGGUCCGUGGUUACAUAAACAAAUUCUUUAAACAAUUAAUUGUAGAUUAUGUAUAUUACGGCACUACCUCUACUUAUAGAGCAUAUCAAUUCACUGUUAUAAAUUUGCACAGAUAUUUUUGAACAUUAAGGUGACAUUCCUAGGGUAGAUUUUUAUUCCUCAUUUAACUGUUUCCUACCUAGUGCUGGUGUUCAUGGUUAAUGUGACAUCACAAGGUCACUUAAGUCAAUAUCAAGUUUCAAAAUAUACUCAUUAGAUAAUGUUUGUUAAUGAUAAAAGAUACAAUGUACUUAGAAACUAGGUCAUUAUCGUAGAAACUAGGUCAUUAUCUUAGAAACUAGGUCAUUAUCGUAGAAACUAGGUCAUUAUUGUUAGAAAUGAGACUACUCAGAUCAUCUUUUUGCCCACCGUUUCAAUGUUACAGGUACACUUUAAUAUAAGUGUUAAAUGAUCUUCCUCUUCUUCUUAAUAUCAUUUGUAAAGUAAAUACAAAUGCUGCUUAAUAGAGAGUUAUAUGAUUUUUUAUAUGAUGUUAAAAAUUGAAUUUCAAUAUUUGCAAUAAAAUUGCUUUUUUGUGAGA